CAUGGCUGGCUGGCUCCACAAGCAGCAGUGCCUAUAUCACUUCGUUGGACUUACGCUUACAGAGGCUCUCCUGGCUGCCUGGGCUGCCAGCGGACCACGAAGGAAGAACAAGGCUGAACUAGGCCAUGUCCUCUCUUUCACCUGGCACCCCCACCCACUCCCAGCUACCUCAGGUGGCUUGCCAAGAGUUGUGGAUGCUCAGAAGAUCUCAGGUCCAGAGUAAGGCCAUCCAUCCCUCUGUCAAUCCCAAAGUGCUUUCCGGUUGAUCAAGCUGUGUCCCUCUCAAAGCCUGGCUGGCAAGAGAAACAUCUGACUAUGGCCACAAAGGCCUAAGGGUACAGAGGAGCUGGGGCAGCUGAGGGAACCUUCACACUGGGCUCCUUUCCCAUCUCUGCCCAGAUCCCCUUCUGUGGCCUUCCCCACAUGGGACAGAACAGAGCGAGGCCCCACCACAAACGUUCCCCAGUGCCAUCAGUGAAUUCUGGUUGAACGUGGGAUG